rnacentral:lncRNA from 1 species
CCCGCCCCGGCCGCCUCGCGGUUUGCUGGCGGCUACGCUGCCUGCGGCGGGCGGUUCUGUCCCCAUUGAGAGGGCGAGCCCCGGGCGGGGGCGCGAGGACCGCCCGGGGACGGCCUGGCGCAGGGCCGUUAUCAGUCUCCAUCGGCUCCUGGGGCAGGAGAGAGAGAACGCGCCGGCGGAGGGCGCGGGGAGGGCCGGAGAGCCCGGGGUAGUUUUCCACCUCUCUCAUUUAUUCCGCCGCCGGAGAAAGCCGGGUUCGCAGCGCCGAAGCGCUUCCCGGCGGGUGCGCGGCGGCCACGGUGGCUUCGCUCACUGUCCCUGCAGAUACCCUCUCCCCGGCCAGGCGCCGUCCUGCGGCCGGACUCCCACCCUCCUCCCCAACCCGAGCCGGCGGUGCGCGCCACCCUCCGGGGUUUAUCCCUGGGGCGCAGGCCUGCGCGCGCGACCUCGCCCGCCAGGUCCUCCCGUUCCCGCCGCCGGGACCCCGGCCCCGAGAACUCCGACGAAAGCCGGCCCCUGCCUCCAAGCCGCUCUGGGGAAGUGAGCCAAGCCCCCAGCGGGGCCGGCGGCGGCGCUUACCCAGUCCGCUCAGCAGGAAGGACUCGCUCCUUUUCUGCGCCUCGGCCCUCUUUUUGUGGCGGGGCCGCAGCAGGGACUCGAGCCGGGCUCUGGCCAGCGCGCCCUGCAUCUCCCCCAUGGGCAGCGGGCGGCGGGGCGCGCGGCAGACGAGAGCGACCGGCGAGCACUGACGUUUCCUUGAAGGAGCCGCCGUGACUCAGGCCGGGCAAGAUUUCCUGCCCCGAGUCCCAAAACAAACAAAUGGCCCUUGUGCACGGUCGGGUCGCUUCCGAAAACGCCUUUUUUGUGCUUUUGGCCAAAACCAAGCAAGGCUGAAAAAUCCCAGAACUUGGAAGAGGAGGAAGGAAGGAAAGAAAGAGGGAAAAGGGGGAGGGAGAGGUCAGGAAUGUGGAGGGGAGGGGGCGGAAAUAAAAGUCGUCUCUGCACUAAAGGAAGAAGUACAAUCUGCAUUUCACUUUUUUUUUUCUGAAGUAAUCUCUGAGAACAUUUUGUCCGUUCCGCAUGUAAUUUUUUUCCUUGCAUUUUUAAUCUCUGCCAUGCCAAGAACACGUGAGGAGGUAACAAGCGAAGGGAGGGGUAGCUUUGCCCGGGGGCAGACCUGGCGUGAACCGGGCAUCCUCGAUUCCUCUGUGGGGCCUGCUCCUCUCCCGCUGUCCCACCUGAAAACCCUGCAGGUCAUGAUACAUGGUCUUAAAAUCGUCCCUACCCUCCCUGGGUUUAACUCAAGGCUGCCCCAGGGCUUCUUAGUUUUGCCACCUCGCUCGCUCUUUAUGUGAGUCCCACAUAAACUGUGACUUUAUCCUGAAAGAUUAGCCGGGUGACUCCGCUGCAGAAGGCAGGGAAGAGAGGGAAGCUCGAGGCGGCGGCCCGGGCUCUGCAGAACAGCGAUGCCGGUGCCUUCCAGUAACCCCGCGGCUGGGGGAUGUCUGGGAGCCGCAGCCUGACCGCCGGCGCGGGGACGUGAGCCAGUGCUGGCCGGGAAGCCGCGAGCACGGCGACUGGGCCCGGAGCGGGCAGUUACAAGUUACCACUAUUCGCAGG